GGCCAGACUCCUACGGGAGGCAGCAGUGGGGAAUAUUGCACAAUGGGGGGAACCCUGAUGCAGCGACGCCGCGUGGGUGAAGAAGCGCCUCGGCGCGUAAAGCCCUGUCAGCAGGGAAGAAAAUGACGGUACCUGAAGAAGAAGCCCCGGCUAACUACGUGCCAGCAGCCGCGGUAAUACGUAGGGGGCAAGCGUUAUCCGGAUUUACUGGGUGUAAAGGGGGCGCAGACGGCGAUGCAAGCCAGGAGUGAAAGCCCGGGGCCCAACCCCGGGACUGCUCUUGGAACUGCGUGGCUGGAGUGCAGGAGGGGCAGGCGGAAUUCCUGGUGUAGCGGUGAAAUGCGUAGAUAUCAGGAGGAACACCGGUGGCGAAGGCGGCCUGCUGGACUGCAACUGACGUUGAGGCCCGAAAGCGUGGGGAGCAAACAGGAUUAGAUACCCUUGUAC
rnacentral:rRNA from 1 species